rnacentral:misc_RNA from 1 species
CCGAGUUCAUGCCCUCACGGGUAGAUUCUCCCACCUUGUGUAUUUAUUGUUUGUGUUGCUUUGGCAGGCCGUGGGCCGCGCCCACCACCGGCUCCCGGGCUGGUGCGUGCCUGCCAGAGGACCCUUUUAAACUCUGUUUGCUCAGUGUCGUCUGAGUAUGAUAACAAUCGUUA